UACCAGCACCCCGAGUGGUCGGGACGUUUAUUGGGCCUAAAGCGUCCGUAGCUUGUUCUGCAAGUCCUCCGUUAAAUCCCCCUGCUCAACAGAUGGGCUGCGGGGGAUACUACAGGGCUAGGAGGCGGGAGAGGCAAACGGUACUCAGUGGGUAGGGGUAAAAUCCUCUGAUCCCCUGAAGACCACCAGUGGCGAAGGCGGUUUGCCAGAACGCGCUCGACGGUGAGGGAUGAAAGCUGGGGGAGCAAACCGG
rnacentral:rRNA from 1 species